UGGGGAAUAUUGCACAAUGGGCGCAAGCCUGAUGCAGCCAUGCCGCGUGUGUGAAGAAGGCCUUCGGGUUGUAAAGCACUUUCAGCGGGGAGGAAGGCGGUGAGGUUAAUAACCUCAUCGAUUGACGUUACCCGCAGAAGAAGCACCGGCUAACUCCGUGCCAGCAGCCGCGGUAAUACGGAGGGUGCAAGCGUUAAUCGGAAUUACUGGGCGUAAAGCGCACGAAGGCGGUCUGUCAAGUCGGAUGUGAAAUCCCCGGGCUCAACCUAGGAACUGCAUUCGAAACUGGCAGGCUAGAGUCUUGUAGAGGGGGGUAGAAUUCCAGGUGUAGCGGUGAAAUGCGUAGCGAUCUGGAGGAAUACCGGUGGCGAAGGCGGCCCCCUGGACAAAGACUGACGCUCAGGUGCGAAAGCGUGGGGAGCAAACAGG
rnacentral:rRNA from 1 species